rnacentral:rRNA from 1 species
UACGUAGGGGGCUAGCGUUGUCCGGAAUCAUUGGGCGUAAAGCGCGCGUAGGCGGCCCGGUAAGUCCGUUGUGAAAGUCAAAGGCUCAACCUUUGAAAGCCGAUGGAUACUGCCGGGCUGGAGUCCGGAAGAGGCGAGUGGAAUUCCUGGUGUAGCGGUGAAAUGCGCAGAUAUCAGGAGGAACACCAAUGGCGAAGGCAGCUCGCUGGGACGGUACUGACGCUGAGACGCGAAAGCGUGGGGAGCAAACAGG